AUACGAACCGUACGAACGUUAUUCGGAAUCACUGGGCUUAAAGAGUGCGUAGGCGGCCUGGUAAGUUGGAUGUGAAAUCCCUCGGCUCAACCGAGGAACUGCGUUCAAUACUGCCAAGCUUGAGGGAGAUAGAGGUGAGCGGAACUAAUGGUGGAGCGGUGAAAUGCGUUGAUAUCAUUAGGAACACCGGUGGCGAAAGCGGCUCACUGGGUCUCUUCUGACGCUGAGGCACGAAAGCUAGGGGAGCGAACGGGAUUAGAUACCCUUGUAGUCC
rnacentral:rRNA from 1 species